GAAAAGAGAAUUACGAGAGGAAGAAAAAUACAGGUAAUAACCAGCUCGGAAUCCGCACCUUAAUUAUGCAAAACAAAAGAGAAUUAGCAAAGGGAUCGAUGAAAAAAGCGAAAGUUUUUAAUUCCAACUUUUUUUUUUAGAAAACUCCACCAUUAAGUUAAACAUACCAAAUCGGGUCAAAGACUAACAAAUUCCACCCAGAGCCGCACAGUUGCCGGCAAUCUCCACCACUGAGUAAAUGCCAGGCCCAGGUCCCCACCUCAUGUAUGCUAUGAGCUCGGGCCUAGCUCUGACCCAUCUCACCAGGGGACGUUUCUCCCCUCACCACACCCUUACCUAUACUCUCAACGCCUUCUUCGGCCCUGACAUAGGCUCCUUCUCUGAGUGGCUAACCUCUGUUCUCUUCCUUGAUUCUUCUGUUCUCGCUUUUUUAGCUGAUUCAAUCCAUCACCCUGUUUAUUAUGUCUUGAUUCUGGGGCUUCCUUUAUGCCUUUUCUACUCCUGGGCAUCAGGUAUUUUGGUGAAAAGAAGCCUUCUUGAUUCUGUUUCAGGGGUGCCACUUUCAAGGAAGCAAUGCUUAUUGUUGAUAUCAGCUGGUUCUUUUUCCCACUUUUUCCUUGACCAUUUAUUUGAGGUGAAUUUUAGAGAUUCCUUUUUUCAUGACAUGUGGCUAAUUGUAUCUGAUUUGUUUAUUCCCCGGUAAUUAGCAUAAAUCAUGAACUUAUUAGUCAAAAUGCUAUACUGACUGCAUAAUUAUGAUUCGAUGGCUCAUUGGAGAGGAGGGUGUAAAAGUUGUCUUGGUAUGGCACAGCAGUGUACUGGGUGCUAAGGAAAUGUAUGUGUGGAUUGGCAUGCGCCAGCAUAUCCAAUUUAUCAUUAAGAUCUCAUUGAGAAUUUUAAAGUUUGUUUGUUGCUUAUUCAUGAUUUGUGCUUAAAUGCAGAUUCCUGAAAAUGGACAUUAGGGCCGUUGUUGGGUUAGGGAACAGUUUGGACUUUGUAAGAAGGCAAAUAAUAUGAAUUAUCCUAUGAGAGGGGGAGUUACAAUACUUGUUUUCAUGGUUGUUCCACCUUGAAAUAAUUAGAUAUGGUUAAUUUAUUCAAUCAUUAGGUAGCAAUUAAUGCUUUUUUAAGCAUGAUUUAAUUUGUUUUUUUGGUAGCUUCCUUGAGAUGAGUUACUGUAGUUUUUUUGCUCCCAUCCUUUGUCAUUGCACCUAUAUCACACAGUGCUACAUGAUAUGAUACAAAAGAAUUGAAUUAUUGUCUUGCCACCUUGCUGGAUUACCAUGUUAGGGAUCAUCUGGUUUGGUCAUGUUAGCAGUAUUAUGAUUUAAAUAGUGUUAGAGGCCCUUUUAUAUGAUUACACCGAGUGACAUGAACAUUCCUUGUUAAGGCAUUCUUUUCUCUUGAAUAUCAGGUAUCUUAUCUGGGGUGCAUAUUUUGAAAAAUGGUGAAGUACAAGAAGAAAAUGCUAGUUAUUAGGGAAAAUGGUAAGUCAUCCAUGUAUACUUGGAUAUUGAGCACUGGCUGGUGGAUAAACCGUGCACCUGUUAACCCAGAUGCUGUGGUUGUAGUUGGAUUCCUGUGCACUUGUUUAAUUGGUGGCUUCAUUUACAUCAACAGAGUGGGGUUGCCAAAAUCUACCAGAAAACAAUCAUACCAAUCAAUGAAACUUAUUAUGAUCAUAGCAAGCCUGUAUUCUUUCUGGUGUGCAAGCCAAACAUACUGGGCUAAUCCUCGACGGCCAGCAGUUGGCGAAGAAGCUGAUCUUGGAGUCCUUGUAUUCUUAGCUACCUACUUUCUUCUUCCCCAUGGUCUCUGUAUAUUGUCCAUGAACUCCGAGGAUCUCCACACCGAUCAUAUCCCUCUUUAAUGGAGAAAUUCAGCAAUCUUAUGCUAAGAAAAAAAAGAAUAGUGUCUGCCGAAAAGGAAAAAGAAAAGGAAGAGGCUGCUCUGUAUUUAGAAUUACUUGUGUUUGUGUCCUAGGGUUGGAGGUGAAGUUUUUAGUGAAAAGGAUGAAAGGAACUUACUGAAGUUUUUGGGGAAUCCCUAUAGUAUCUGCUAGAAAGUACUGACUGAAGUUUGGAGAGCAUUCCAUCUUAACAUGGUAAAAAUGUGAUUUUUAGUUCAUAAAAUCAAUCUAUCCAUCCAUUUGCUAAAAGAA